CCAAAGCUGUGUUCCAGGUGGGGAACACCUAUGGAUGCACCAGGGUGCAACUACUCAGAGUCCAGUGUGCAGAAGGGCCCCUGCUCUAUGCUGUUUCCGUAUCCAAGCCCAAGCUCUUCUAGAGCUUCAGCAAAUCCAAGCCUCCCUGAAUUCCCUGCAAGACCAAACUGAGCCCUACAACCCCCACCACUACAGUUCUGAAGUCCUACAAGAAUGUUGAGAUCCUAAGCCGACUCUCACCCAAAGAGGUAAACAACCAGGGGCCUCCAGGUUGAGAGAAUAUACCCAGACAGGUUCUGCUGCCUGUAGGCUUGAUGUCUUUCCCCUACAACACGCCUUGCUUGCCAGGCUGGAAGAGGGGCUCCAGAAACUUGGGAAACCUGGGCCUGUAGCUGGCAUGUGGAAAAGAGGCCUGGAAAAGCACCAUUCCUGUCCAUGAAGCCGCUGUACCACUACAGGAGGGAGGAACAUCUAGCCCCACACGUGAGUGGAGACACCAGGUGUGGGCAGGUUCCAGUGGUUGCUGCAGCUGAACCUUCCGGAAUUACCAGGAGACCAUCACACAGGCCGUGGACAAGUUCUACAAGAGCCCAGCUCCUGUUCAGAAACCCCAUCUGUGCCUUUGGAGGGACUGCCCUGCGCACACAGGCCCAGCAACCACCAUCUACGGCCCCCAGGACCUAAUCCCCUUCUACUUGGGAUUCGGCAGCAGUAGCCAGAGGGCCCAUAGAAAGAAGAUGGAGGCAA
rnacentral:lncRNA from 1 species